rnacentral:rRNA from 1 species
AUUGAACGCUGGCGGCAGGCCUAACACAUGCAAGUCGAACGGUAACAGGAAGAAGCUUGCUUCUUUGCUGACGAGUGGCGGACGGGUGGGUAAUGUCUGGGAAACUGCCUGAUGGAGGGGGAUAACUACUGGAAACGGUAGCUAAUACCGCAUAACGUCGCAAGACCAAAGAGGGGGACCUUCGGGCCUCUUGCCAUCGGAUGUGCCCAGAUGGGAUUAGCUAGUAGGUGGGGUAACGGCUCACCUAGGCGACGAUCCCUAGCUGGUCUGAGAGGAUGACCAGCCACACUGGAACUGAGACACGGUCCAGGCUCCUACGGGAGGCAGCAGUGGGGAAUAUUGCACAAUGGGCGCAAGCCUGAUGCAGCCAUGCCGCGUGUAUGAAGAAGGCCUUCGGGUUGUAAAGUACUUUCAGCGGGGAGGAAGGGAGUAAAGUUAAUACCUUUACUCAUUGACGUUACCCGCAGAAGAAGCACCGGCUAACUCCGUG